rnacentral:lncRNA from 1 species
AACACUCUCCUAGGAAUGCAAACAAUGUUCUAAGCUUCUCCCUGUCCGCCUGGUAAAAUUUUGUGCUUGACAAGUAUUGAACCCAAGGUUCAUUCAAGCCAAACCCGAAGACUGAGGUCAGCUUAUCAGCUACAUCAACAACUUGACCUUUCUUAUUAGUUGUUCGCUCCACAAAGGCAGAGACAGCUCCACGUGAUGUGUCGGUAAUUUGGCGAAGAAGCUCAACAUCCUUCAGUAUUCCCUUGUCACUUCCUCUAUAGACAUCCUCAAUAUUUCUUCCAACAGUCUCAGCUAAUAUAGCUGGGAGUGAUGAAAUCCCCUCUUCAGGACGGUUCAAUGCAGCAAUGUUAACCAGUGUUGCAACAGCUUCCAUUGCAGAUGGAGGCUCGCCAAUGACAUGUAGCCCACAAGGCAAAAGUCGGGACUCAAUUUCCAUAAUUUUAGAAUACACCUUUCCAACCACAAGGUCUCGUUCUUUUGCAGAGAUUUCUUCCCCUUCAUCAGGAAGGCUCACAUCCUUGUCAAGAUUGCAUUGUUUAGCUGUGCUAAUAAUGGAGCUCACAAUCUGCGGGCCACGACCCGUGUCUUUGAGAGAUUGAUACGAGGAGAUAAGCUCACUAAGUUGCUUGAGUCCCUUGUAAAGU